rnacentral:rRNA from 1 species
CAGCCGUAAACUAUGCUCGCUAGGUGUCAGGCAUGGCGCGACCGUGUCUGGUGCCGCAGGGAAGCCGUGAAGCGAGCCACCUGGGAAGUACGGCCGCAAGGCUGAAACUUAAAGGAAUUGGCGGGGGAGCACAACAACGGGUGGAGCCUGCGGUUUAAUUGGACUCAACGCCGGACAACUCACCGGGGACGACAGCAAUAUGUAGGCCAGGCUGAAGACCCUGCAUGACUAGCUGAGAGGUGGUGCAUGGCGUAGACGUCU